UUAGCUAAAACCAAAAUUAAGCGGUAUUCCACUGUUAAUGGAAAAAUUGGAGAUUUCCUAGUUAAA
rnacentral:tRNA from 1 species